rnacentral:lncRNA from 1 species
CUUGUGUUACGGGGAAUUCUUAUCAGCUGAGUUAGUCAGUGCUUACCAUUCCCUACAGCCAUUGCGACCAGCAGGGGCCACCAGCCUGAGGAAGACCAAUUUCCCUUCUUCUCCCAUCUCCUCACUUCUCAUGUGUCACAGUCAUAACUAUCAGCAGAGGGAGAGUGAAGAAGCACAAGUUACUUGAUAGACUUCCUCAAAUAGCUAAGUCCUCUUCUCUGAGCCGAUCAAGCUCUUCCUCCUCGUUCAGACUGCCGGUAGAGCAGUCAGAAACCCUGCCCCAUGUCCCAGACCUGUUCCUGUACAAAAAUCUGUUGCUGCUCUCCUCUCGAUCAUCAAAAGUACCCGGCAAUGCAGAAACGUGAUGACAAGGCUGGAUCAGUGCAGAUAUCUGCCCAUCCUACCUGAACAAUAAAGGAAGACAUGCUCAGUCUCAGGUUUGACACUGAUUUUUAUUCAUUAUACAGGUAAGCCCCAUUGAAUUGCCAUGAUAUAUGCUAACUGACACACAGAGAGACACACAGGAAGGGACACAAAUUUCAAAUAAGAUAUCAGGAUCAAUUAGGAUAAAACCAAUCUGUUCUUUGAUUAAAAUGUGGGCCCAAAGUAUAAUAGUAACGACAAU